CCUACGGGAGGCAGCAGUGAGGAAUAUUGGUCAAUGGGCGAGAGCCUGAACCAGCCAAGUCGCGUGAGGGAGUACUGCCCUAUGGGUUGUAAACCUCUUUUGUCGGGGAGCAAAAGCCGGACGUGUCCGGCUGUGAGAGUACCCGAAGAAAAAGCAUCGGCUAACUCCGUGCCAGCAGCCGCGGUAAUACGGAGGAUGCGAGCGUUAUCCGGAUUUAUUGGGGUUAAAGGGUGCGCAGGCGGAUUUUUAAGUCAGCGGUCAAAUCGUGGGGCUCAACCCCAUCCAGCCGUUGAAACUGGGGAUCUAGAGUGUGCGAGAGGUAUGCGGAAUGCGUGGUGUAGCGGUGAAAUGCAUAGAUAGCACGCAGAACCCCGAUUGCGAAGGCAGCAUACCGGUGCACAACUGACGCUCAGGCACGAAAGCGUGGGUAUCGAACAGGAUUAGAUACCCCGGUAGUC
rnacentral:rRNA from 1 species